UGCAACUCGGCUGCAUGAAGCUGGAAUCGCUAGUAAUCGCGGAUCAGAAUGCCGCGGUGAAUACGUUCCCGGGUCUUGUACACACCGCCCGUCACACCAUGGGAGUCGGGAAUGCCCGAAGUCAGUGACCCAACCGGAAAGGGGGGAGCUGCCGAAGGCAGGCCUGGUAACUGGGGUGAAGUCGUAACAAGGUACC
rnacentral:rRNA from 1 species